AGGCUUUGGAUAGCGGGAAUGACGAGAACGGUGGAGACACGAUACUUGAUCCAGACGACGGCUCUGAUUUACUUCGUAUCGUUGAUGAGGAUGAAGAAGAGGAGGAUCUAAAUCUGCUAUAAGAUUCAAUACAUCAUAGAAAUUUGAACCAGUAUAUCCAAGAUUUCCUAACAAAUUUCUUGUCGCAGAACUGCUUCCAAGCUUUCGUUGAGCAUCUGACACCACCGGUUCUCACGAAUUUGAAUAUAAACGCGAGUUAUGCGUGAAAGAGUAAUGAUAAGAAAUGAAAUAUAAAUUAGUGAGUUUUUGCUCGGGCGGAAAUGACCCAGCGAAAAAUGGUUCAAAGAAUCGUUUAUUUACACUAGAGAACUGCUGAUUCCAUAUUUUUCAUCAUUUUUACAGAUCACAAAGCAGACCGCCAUGGAGCAAGUGUCGGUCGUGAUUUCCGUACAAGAAUAAGCACCCGUGACUCCUUUACCGCUCCAGAUUUGCCGGAUGCCUUAAACAGUAUUUUCCUUGUCCUCGCGAACAUCCAGGAACCACCGAUUGAACAGUCCACGGUCUCCGACGCCACGUAAACAUCGACAUAAAUACAAAUUCUAAAAAAAAAGAGUUAUAAAAAACGGAAAAAAGUCAAAAAAAGACUUCAACUCGUGAAAGUUGAAAAAAACUUGAUCUCAUCCGCUUUUUUUGUCUACAUAAGAUUUCGACCGAAAUCGUUGUUCGGUAACAGGACAAUCUAUAAAUCUAUAUACUGAGCUUAGUUAAUCAAUUUUUAUCAGAUAAUGCGCUUUUUUCAAUCUUCUUGAUAAUUUUUUUCUGUAACGACUCAAUGACCGAUUAUAUUUAUUGGUAAAUAAAUUCCAGCUAGGCGUAAGCAUCUAUGUCGACAAUUUCUAUGAAAAAUCAAAUAAAACCUUUCAAAUAUUCAUGAGAA